rnacentral:piRNA from 1 species
UNGUGACUCAAAGACAUCUGUGCUGC